rnacentral:rRNA from 1 species
UACGAAGGGGGCUAGCGUUGCUCGGAAUUACUGGGCGUAAAGGGUGCGUAGGCGGGUCUUUAAGUCAGGGGGGAAAUCCUGGAGCUCAACUCCAGAACUGCCUUUGAUACUGAAGAUCUUGAGUGCGGGAGAGGUGAGUGGAACUGCGAGUGUAGAGGUGAAAUUCGUAGAUAUUCGCAAGAACACCAGUGGCGAAGGCGGCUCACUGGCCCGAUACUGACGCUGAGGCACGAAAGCGUGGGGAGCAAACAGG